AGAAAUGGCCUGUAAACAUAUUACGCAUGCGCAGUUGUAGGCGCUUUAAAACGAGUCUGAGGAGGGAACAUGAAGACAUUUGCAGGUGGUCUCGGUUUUUAGAAGAGCUUUCAUCAAGCCGGCAGCACAUUUGGAUGAAAGUUGCCUGGUUCACAUGGAAACCUCAUUGCUGUGGUAUCACAGAGGGGCUGCAGGAUGAGAAGACUCUGUGUUGUUUAUGACUGAGAUCUUAGCAGAACACCAACAUCAUCAACUUUGACUUAACUCUGCUGCUACUGGUGUCUACAUGUUCAACAAGACGUGCACAAGGGCCAAAUCCUGAGCAAAUCUCAGGUCUUAGACCCUGAUUACAUGACAAGCAAAGUUGACCUCACUGCCCUGGUUGCAGAAUUAGUUAGAAGAAACAAAAGUGUGGGGGUGUUGUCCCCUGUCAGACCAAUGGGGGGUGAGGGAACCCCAGUGAAAGGUAAACCCCUCUCUGUUGACAACAUGGAAAACCCUCAGAUGGCUGUGAACAACAGCCCCAAAGAUGUUGGUGCUGACGACAGUGCGAAAGGCGUCGUCUCUGGGGUUGUUGGCACCGCAUCCAUCGAACUCUCCACUGAGGGCAAAUGGAGGAACAUUAGAAAGACCCCCGCCAAUCCACACACGCAGGCCAACUGCCUCCGACAGAUUGUCCUGCUGCAACUGGACCUCAUUGAACAGCAGCAGCAACAGUUGCAGUCCAAAGACAAGGAGAUAGAUGAGCUCAAAGCAGACAAAGAGACGUUGCUUGCACGUAUUGAGCGUAUGGAACGUCGCUUGCAACUUACAAAAAAGGACCCACCUCGUGACAAGCGCCUUUUUCAGCCAUUGGAACCAUGGACUCCAGAUAAGGAGGACAUGUGGGACCUGGAUAUAGAGGAGACUCCUCAGUCCAACCAAGGCGCUUCUCUUCCAUUCAUUCGAGGUGGUAAAGGUCAAAAGAGAAAGUCUUGCUUUGGGGAUGUGAAAGCCCAGAAAUCUCGGAGCAAAAGUGCCAAACUUAGUCCGCAGAAAUCCGAUAUUCCACCCGGCUCACCCACACACAGAGAACUGCGCGCGAAAGACACGCCAGAGAAGACGGUUCCCACCAGGUCUGCCACAGAAAAGGACAGUUUGCUUCCAUACAAAGAGGAGCUUGAUCUAAACCACCAGAUAGAAGACCUGCCCUUCAUGUCGACCACUGAGAUGUACCUCUGCUGCUGGAAUCAACCUCCCCUCUCCCCUCUGCGUGAGACUUCCCCAAAAAAGGAGGAAGAGGUGGCCAGUGAGUGGACUCCUCAUGUAGUUCAUGAUAUGCUGAUUGUUUUUCCAUCCUGGAGAGAGAAUUACAUUGAGCCUUUAGCGGACGACGAAGAGGCCGUGAACGCACUGGAGCCACUGGAUGACGGUGUGUUUUUGAAACGGCACGCAAAGCUGGAGUUGGAUGAAAAACGAAGGAAAAGAUGGGACAUCCAGCGAAUCAGGGAGCAGCGCAUGUUCCAGCGGCUACAGCAGCGCAUGAACAGGAAAAAAGUGGUGCAGGAGACUGAGCCAGAUAUUUCAUCCUUUUAUCCCGACACAGAAGAUGUGGAGACUAUAGUGGUCACUCCUUUUUUGCCUGUGGUUGCGUUUGGCCGGCCGUUGCCCAAAAUCACACAACAUUGACUCUCAAAACAGAUGAGGUUAAAACAACAGUGAGGUCAUAAGUCACCGCCCUGGCAGAUUGACUGCAGUGAUUGGCUCCAGCCCUCCACAGUCCUGGAAAGGGUUAAGAGGAACUUCGAGCUGCCCUGGCUGGACGACCGCAGCCGAUGUCGCAUUGAGGUGCCCAAAAAACACACACCUCACCGGACCUGUCGGAAGUGAGAAACACUGGUCAUUGUCAGCAAUAUAGAGAGAUAUUGGCUUUGUCUGCAUUACACAAUGCCACGUUGGUCAUGUUGGCAUACGACACAGGUCAAUCGGUUGUUGUGUAAUAACCGCUGUUGCUUUCAGUCUCCGGAAGAUUGAACGACUCUCCAGCCUCGAUUUGUCACCAGAGAACAGCUGAUCUCCAGCAUAGUAUUAAAAAAACAUACAAGCAAAAACAAAAAAUCAAAAAGAGACAACUGUGUCUGUAGGUGUCAUUUGUAUAUUCAGUCUCAGACCCAGCUUCUUUGCUUGAUACUGAAAGAUUGAAGUUAGCAGUGGGCGAGAAAACACGUCACUUUCUUCUUAGCAAAUAAUGUUAGUGUUCAGCGACGUGACUGAGAGAUGAUCAACCAGAGUUGCACCACUCAUCCAGAAUCUGGCUGGAUUCAACAAAAGUGAAUGUUUAGUCUGAUUCUAAAUGCAUAGACAGCUGAUAAUAGCAGCUACAUAAGAGAUGUUUUCAAGUUUUGUUGCCAUAUAGAUUUUAAAAAAGAGCAGUAGUGCUAACAGCUUUUCCGCUCCUGGCAGUCGCAUCACUCAUUCUUGGCAUCAAAGUGAGAAAAAGUCAAUAUCUGACUGUGUUGUGCUAUGUAUUGCCUAUAAUUGAUGUUUGCACACAACUUCAGGUGAGGUUAUAUCAAUGUUCAAUGUGAUCUGUGGAGUUUUGAGCCUCACAAAGCAUGUUUUUUAAGAAAAGAAAAGCAGAUACAGUAGUCGAUGUAAAUCGUAAAUGCAGCCACCAUGGUUGUAAAUCACUGUUUUGUGUUCAUUUAAACAAUGGCACAAAAAGUUCUGUUUGGGUAAAGCCAACAUCAUUUUCAGUGACCUGUUUGUUCUUUAUUUUCUUUAUUGCAUGGCUGCAUCCAAAAAAGCAUGGCUGAGUCCCAGAACAGAAAAUCACUGCUGUUCAGUGUGCUGCAAAAAUGGAGGGAAGAAAAUGCCUUUGGAGCCAUGACUUGCUCUGCUCUUAUACUUUUCCAUCACAAGGGAAUCUGAUGAAAAAUCUUACAAUUAAUCUUUGUGUUUUCAACACUUGAAUCCAGUAGAUAUUACACAAAAUGCUGAUGCAUUUUUUUAUGAUGCUGACAUUCAAAAGAACAAUAAAUCUCUGCUAGCUGUAGUUAUAGCGAUGUACGCCAGUAGGCUCUUCAAGCGCUUCCAAUUAAUCUUCUCAUCUCUGAAUUAACCCGUUACAGUCGCCGUUUUUAGCCUUUGCUGAUGUUUCCUUGCUGCAUUUUCUCUGAAAUGUGAUGCACCAGCUCUUCUGCAGCUGGAAAAAAACUAACAAUCUUCUCGUCAUGUACAUAGCUCUUGGAAAACCAGUGUAUAUAAAACAUGGCUAUAACAUGGUUAUUUUUUUAUUAUUUAAUGUCAGAAGUGUGGAGUUCAUCCAAUAUUGUUCUACAAUUGUUUGUUGACAAAUUUGCAAAGUUUAAUUUGUUUUGGAAUAAAAGUAACUUCUCUUUGAUACACAGA